rnacentral:rRNA from 1 species
CCAAUAGCGUAUAUUAAAGUUGUUGCAGUUAAAAAGCUCGUAGUUGAAUUUCGGGGUCAGUAGAUUGGUCGUGCCACUGGUAUGUACUGGUCUCACUGAUCCCUCCUUCCUGAUGAACCGUACUGCCAUUCAUUUGGUGUUGCGAGGAAUCGGGACUGUUACUUUGACAAAAUGAGAGGGUUUAAAGCAGGCUAACGCUUGAAUACAUUAGCAUGGAAUAAUGGAAUAGGACGUUCGAUCCUAUUUUGUUGGUUUCUAGGAUUGACGUAAUGAUUAAUAGGGAUAGUUGGGGGCAUUAGUAUUCAAUUGUCAGAGGUGAAAUUCUUGGAUUUAUUGAAGACUAACUACUGCGAAAGCAUUUGCCAAGGAUGUUUUCAUUAAUCAAGAACGAAAGUUAGGGGAUCGAAGACGAUCAGAUACCGUCGUAGUCUUAACCAUAAACUAUGCCGACUAGGGAUCGGAUGAUGUUAAUUUUUUAAUGACUCAUUCGGCGCCUUACG